UUUGAGACCGGCGAAUCCUCCACCAACGAAACCUUGAGGAUGAAGAGAAAAGGAAAGAAGCCCAUGGCUUCCAGGGAGGAAAGUGAACUGAGAGAUUCCAAGCACAAGAAGCAUACAUGUUCUAAAAGGGGGUUUGAGGUUAAGAAAACGAUGAAGAAGCAGAAAAGUUUGGAAUCAAAGAUAGAAGAUCUUAAGAAAGAAAUGAACCACGAGGAGUUGCAGGAAUACCAAGAAAAGCUGGGACGAUUGGAGCAGAACCUUGCCCAGAUUAGAAUGCAGUUUUCUCUGGCAAAAGAAAUAAAUGACGACAACCAGAUUUUCUUGAAUUCUAUAAUUGCUCUCUUGUUCCCUUGAAAUGAAGGAGAUGGAGGCAGGAGCAGUGG